rnacentral:rRNA from 1 species
UCGGCAGUAAAGGGUGAUAGCCCCGUAUCUGAAGAUGCUGUUAUUGUGAACUCGACGAGUAGGGCGGGACACGUGUUAUCCUGUCUGAAUAUGGGGGGACCAUCCUCCAAGGCUAAAUACUCCUGAUUGACCGAUAGUGAACCAGUACCGUGAGGGAAAGGCGAAAAGAACCCCGGCGAGGGGAGUGAAAAAGAACCUGAAACCGUGUACGUACAAGCAGUAGGAGCCUCUUUAUGGGGUGACUGCGUACCUUUUGUAUAAUGGGUCAGCGACUUAUAUUCUGUAGCAAGGUUAACCGUAUAGGGGAGCCGUAGGGAAACCGAGUCUUAACUGGGCGAAUGAGUUGCAGGGUAUAGACCCGAAACCCGGUGAUCUAUCCAUGGGCAGGUUGAAGGUUGGGUAACACUAACUGGAGGACCGAACCGACUAAUGUUGAAAAAUUAGCGGAUGACUUGUGGAUGGGGGUGAAAGGCCAAUCAAACCGGGAGAUAGCUGGUUCUCCCCGAAAGCUAUUUAGGUAGCGCCUCGUGAACUCAUCUUCGGGGGUAGAGCACUGUUUCGACUAGGGGGUCAUCCCGACUUACCAACUCGAUGCAAACUGCGAAUACCGAAGAAUGUUAUCACGGGAGACACACGGCGGGUGCUAACGUCCGUCGUGAAGAGGGAAACAACCCAGACCGCCAGCUAAGGUCCCAAAGUCAUGGUUAAGUGGGAAACGAAGUGGGAAGGCUCAGACAGCCAGGAUGUUGGCUUAGAAGCAGCCAUCAUUUAAAGAAAGCGUAAUAGCUCACUGGUCGAGUCGGCCCGCGCGGAAGAUGUAACGGGGCUAAACCAUGCACCGAAGCUGCGGCAGCGACACAAAGUGUUGUUGGGUAGGGGAGCGUUCUGUAAGCCUGCGAAGGUGUACUGUGAGGUAUGCUGGAGGUAUCAGAAGUGCGAAUGCUGACAUAAGUAACGAUAAUGCGGGUGAAAAACCCGCACGCCGGAAGACCAAGGGUUCCUGUCCAACGUUAAUCGGGGCAGGGUGAGUCGACCCCUAAGGCGAGGCUGAAAAGCGUAGUCGAUGGGAAACGGGUUAAUAUUCCCGUACUGGUACUGGUGGUUAACUGCGAUGGGGGAACGGAGAAGGCUAGGUUGUCCGGGCGACGGUCGUCCCGGUUCAAGCAGGUAGGCAGAGUGAUUAGGCAAAUCCGGUCACUUAAUGCUGAGAUGUGAUGACGAACCACCAAGGUGGUGAAGCAAUUGAUGCCCCGCUUCCAGGAAAAGCCUCUAAGCUUCAGGUUACCAACAAUCGUACCCCAAACCGACACAGGUGGUCAGGUAGAGAAUACUCAGGCGCUUGAGAGAACUCGGGUGAAGGAACUAGGCAAAAUGGUGCCGUAACUUCGGGAGAAGGCACGCUGGCGGUAGGUAAAGUCCCUUGCGGACGGCGCCCAAGCCAGUCGAAGAUACCAGCUGGCUGCAACUGUUUAUUAAAAACACAGCACUGUGCAAACACGAAAGUGGACGUAUACGGUGUGACGCCUGCCCGGUGCUGGAAGGUUAAUUGAUGGGGUUAGCGCAAGCGAAGCUCCUGAUCGAAGCCCCAGUAAACGGCGGCCGUAACUAUAACGGUCCUAAGGUAGCGAAAUUCCUUGUCGGGUAAGUUCCGACCUGCACGAAUGGCGUAAUGAUGGCCAGGCUGUCUCCACCCGAGACUCAGUGAAAUUGAACUCGCUGUGAAGAUGCAGUGUACCCGCGGCAAGACGGAAAGACCCCGUGAACCUUUACUAUAGCUUGACACUGAACAUUGAGCCUUGAUGUGUAGGAUAGGUGGGAGGCUUUGAAGUGUGGACGCCAGUCUGCAUGGAGCCAACCUUGAAAUACCACCCUUUAACGUUUGAUGUUCUAACCUAGGCCCAUAAACUGGGUCGGGGACCGUGUCUGGUGGGUAGUUUGACUGGGGCGGUCUCCUCCUAAAGAGUAACGGAGGAGCACGAAGGUUGGCUAAGCAUGGUCGGACAUCAUGCGGUUAGUGCAAAGGCAUAAGCCAGCUUGACUGCGAGAGUGACGGCUCGAGCAGGUACGAAAGUAGGUCUUAGUGAUCCGGUGGUUCUGAAUGGAAGGGCCAUCGCUCAACGGAUAAAAGGUACUCCGGGGAUAACAGGCUGAUACCGCCCAAGAGUUCAUAUCGACGGCGGUGUUUGGCACCUCGAUGUCGGCUCAUCACAUCCUGGGGCUGAAGUAGGUCCCAAGGGUAUGGCUGUUCGCCAUUUAAAGUGGUACGCGAGCUGGGUUUAGAACGUCGUGAGACAGUUCGGUCCCUAUCUGCCGUGGGCGUUGGAAGAUUGAGAGGGGUUGCUCCUAGUACGAGAGGACCGGAGUGAACGCACCACUGGUGUUCGGGUUGUCAUGCCAAUGGCAUUGCCCGGUAGCUAAGUGCGGAAGAGAUAACCGCUGAAAGCAUCUAAGCGGGAAACUUGCCUCGAGAUGAGUCUUCCCUGUCGCUUUAAGCGACCUAAAGGAACGUUUAAGACUAAGACGUUGAUAGGCUGGGUGUGUAAGCGUAGCGAUACGUUGAGCUAACCAGUACUAAUGAACCGUGAGGCUUAACCUG